rnacentral:tRNA from 1 species
AUUUGUAUAGUAUAAUAAUUAUAUUUAACUUCCAAUUAAAUGAUCCAUUAAUGGUACAAAUA